AGUCCAUAAGAGAGCCUAGAGUUCAGGUUUGGAACUAGCGGGCUUGAAGUAGCUCCCCAGGGGCCUCAGGUCUUAGCUUCAGCCACAAGCCCAGUUUUCUGCUGUUGGUAAGAGCAGCCCUACAUGUGGUCUGAGAGCUUGUGUGCUUUGCACAUCACUGACUGGAGGCUGGACCAGGUGUUCUCUGGGAAAAAAAAAGACCGAGCCGUGCCUUCAAGGAGCUGCUGCUUAGGGAGCCAAAGCUUGGCAGGGGCCAAGAGGAGACUGAUGGCAUCGUCUUAAGUUACCGGAUGACUUCACGUAUCCCGAGAGGCAGUUGCAAGGACAGUCAAUUCCCCCAGGUGGGCCCCAGCCUCUGGUAACCAUCACUCCAGGCUGUCUCUAUGGAGAUACUAAGGACCUCGUGCAAGAGGAAUCAGCAGCAUCUGCCUUUCUGGCUCCUUUCAGUCUGUAUGUUCUCAAGAUCAAUGAUGGGAGAAUCUCUUGCUGACCAGACAGAAGAUGAGGAUAAUUUCACAGUGGUGACUACUCACCACACAGAGCAACACCUGAUGCCAGGUUCCUACAGUACUUGUGGGAGAUGGUUGCUAUAAUCUGCCAGCAAAAUUCCAGUAGAUAGUUACUACCUCCAGUGUGCCUGACCCAUCCCUUGCUGGGGAUGUCUUCAGGAGACUGCUGUUGGGCUCAGCCUAUCUACUUGUUAAAUUUUGCCUUGGCUUUGAUCGUGCACAUGGACUGUUGGGAUCAUUCUGAAUUUUCAUUAUAUCAUUUCUGACAAUUGCUCUCCAGAUUGGUGUCAUCUGAAUAAUUGAUUGGCAAAUAUUUUUGAAAGGAUAAAGCCAAGGACAUACUCCUGUAUUCAACCAGCAGAAAUUUUUAUUCUCAUUGACAUUGAGCCACGAAUCAACACUUUUUGAUUGCAGCUGUUCAAAUGGCCAGAGUGCUAUGGAAGAAUGUAAAUGACAAUGGUGAAGACAGCACUGCAAAGAUAUCCUGUAUCUCUCGGGGAAUUCUUAAGUUGAAUGCAGUUCAAGGAAAAUCCCAACAAGUUACCUUCAUACAACCUGAUGAGCUGAAUCUCAGUUUCAUUCGAGAGAGCACAGGAAUGUACUGAUUGAGGGAGAAAUAACAAGAACGGAGGGAAUGCAUCUUUUUAGAAAUCAGAACUCAAGACUAUUAUAAAGCUAUAAUGAUUAGCACUGUUUGGUAUUGGCACCGAAGAGGAAAAAGAUCAAAGGAACAGAAAAGAGAUUCCAGGAAUAAAACAGCAAAGCAGCAUGUACGUAGCAAUUUGCAGUGGUACAGGGUGCAUUGCACAUCUUUUGGAACACAGAGGUAAUUACAAAGUGACACUGGCCUAUGUGGCAAUCUGGAGUGAAAAACAGUGUUCUCUCUCUAGCUCAGAUCUGCACUAAAACAGGUCCUAGGGUGUUUAAAGAUGA
rnacentral:lncRNA from 1 species